UAGGGAAUCUUCCGCAAUGGACGCAAGUCUGACGGAGCAACGCCGCGUGAGUGAAGAAGGAUUUCGGUUCGUAAAACUCUGUUGUUAGAGAAGAACAGCGCAUAGAGUAACUGUUAUGCGUGUGACGGUAUCUAACCAGAAAGCCACGGCUAACUACGUGCCAGCAGCCGCGGUAAUACGUAGGUCCCGAGCGUUGUCCGGAUUUAUUGGGCGUAAAGCGAGCGCAGGCGGUUAGAAAAGUCUGAAGUGAAAGGCAGUGGCUCAACCAUUGUAGGCUUUGGAAACUGUUUAACUUGAGUGCAGAAGGGGAGAGUGGAAUUCCAUGUGUAACGGUGAAAUGCGUAGAUAUAUGGAGGAACACCGGUGGCGAAAGCGGCUCUCUGGUCUGUAACUGACGCUGAGGCUCGAAAGCGUGGGGAGCGAACAGG
rnacentral:rRNA from 1 species